GAUGAACGCUGGCGGCGUGCCUAAUACAUGCAAGUCGAGCGAACAGACGAGGAGCUUGCUCCUCUGACGUUAGCGGCGGACGGGUGAGUAACACGUGGAUAACCUACCUAUAAGACUGGGAUAACUUCGGGAAACCGGAGCUAAUACCGGAUAAUAUAUUGAACCGCAUGGUUCAAUAGUGAAAGACGGUUUUGCUGUCACUUAUAGAUGGAUCCGCGCCGCAUUAGCUAGUUGGUAAGGUAACGGCUUACCAAGGCAACGAUGCGUAGCCGACCUGAGAGGGUGAUCGGCCACACUGGAACUGAGACACGGUCCAGACUCCUACGGGAGGCAGCAGUAGGGAAUCUUCCGCAAUGGGCGAAAGCCUGACGGAGCAACGCCGCGUGAGUGAUGAAGGUCUUCGGAUCGUAAAGCUCUGUUAUUAGGGAAGAACAAAUGUGUAAGUAACUAUGCGCGUCUUGACGGUACCUAAUCAGAAAGCCACGGCUAACUACGUG
rnacentral:rRNA from 1 species